rnacentral:rRNA from 1 species
ACAGGGAUUACCUCAGUUAACGGCGAGUGAAGCGGUAACAGCUCAAAUUUGAAAUCUGGGUCUUUCAGGCUCCGAGUUGUAAUUUGUAGAAGAUGCUUUGGGUGCGGCCCCGGUCUAAGUUCCUUGGAACAGGACGUCAUAGAGGGUGAGAAUCCCGUAUGUGAUCGGUGGCUUGCGCCCGUGUAAAGCUCUUUCGACGAGUCGGGUUGUUUGGGAAUGCAGCUCUAAAUGGGUGGUAAAUUUCAUCUAAAGCUAAAUAUUGGCCAGAGACCGAUAGCGCACAAGUAGAGUGAUCGAAAGAUGAAAAGGACUUUGGAAAGAGAGUUAAACAGUACGUGAAAUUGUUGAAAGGGAAGCGCUUGCAACCAGACUUGCGCGGGGUUGAUCAUCCGGGGUUCUCCCCGGUGCACUCGGCCUCGCUCAGGCCAGCAUCGGUUUCGGUGGUUGGAUAAAGGCCUUGGGAAUGUGACUUCUUUCGGGGAGUGUUAUAGCCCUCGGUGCAAUGCAGCCUACCGGGACCGAGGACCGCGCUUCGGCUAGGAUGCUGGCGUAAUGGUUGUAAGCGACCCGUCUUGAAACACGGACCAAGGAGUCUAACAUCUAUGCGAGUGUUUGGGUGUCAAACCCAUACGCGUAAUGAAAGUGAACGGAGGUGAGAACCCUUAAGGGUGCAUCAUCGACCGAUCCUGAUGUCUUCGGAUGGAUUUGAGUAAGAGCAUAGCUGUUGGGACCCGAAAGAUGGUGAACUAUGCCUGAAUAGGGUGAAGCCAGAGGAAACUCUGGUGGAGGCUCGCAGCGGUUCUGACGUGCAAAUCGAUCGUCAAAUUUGGGCAUAGGGGCGAAAGACUAAUCGAACC